UUGCAAUCCAAAAUUAUCAUCGUUAUUGAUUGGUGUAAUCUAUCAUCACUAUUAUAAUAAUAAUUUUUAUUACUAUUAUUAAUAUUAUUACCUGGUAUUAUUAUCGUUAUUUUUAUUAUUUUUGCCCAUUAGUAUUACUGGUUAGUAGUGGGCGAUUAUGAAAUUUAUUUUUGCAUUAUUGUUGGUUCAUACUGCUCAUUUAGGUUUAAUUUGUAAUUUGUUAUUUAAUUCCCACAUAUAUAGUGAAGCAAAUAAAUUAAGCGAGAUAGUAGUGACUAGUAACGAUGUUAGUAAGCAAACAGACAAGCUAAAGCCUAAUAAGUGACCACGUCCCGAUGAGAUAUUUGCCAGAGUAUUAACGAAAUGUAAGGGAGAGCUUAGUACUGUAUGCCCUUAGGAAAUUUGUUUAACAUGUCAUUAAAAACGUUCGUGUGUGACAAAUCUAUUAGCAUUCUUUUCAGCUGUUAUGGCUUCAGUGGACGGCGGGCACGAUCAUGAUGUGGUAUAUACAUCGACUUUAGGAAAGCCUUUGACAGAGUCCCAACGAAAGACGAAUACGAAAAGUUGAGGCAUUGAAGGAGUUAUUCUAAAAUGGAUUAGGGCAUGGUUACAGGACAGGAAACAACGAAUAAUGUUCCCCAACAUUAUACGGAAUGGCUUCAGUAGAAGAUAAGAUGAAUUGUGUCCUUUGGUUAGUUGAGUUGAAUUCUGUACCAGGAACAUCUAGUUCCAGAGGAGCCCGUCUUAGUGAUUUUCGUGGACUAUUUAGAAAAGUUUUCUCUAUAGACGCCACAGUCUCCUUGUUUGCUCCCGGUCUUCCAGUUCGUGGCUUGUAAUUAACGGAACCUGUCUCUUUAAACUUCUUCAUCCAACUCGUAAUUGAAUUUCUGUGUGGUUUUUCCUUCUUGUAAGGAGUCGUAAAUUUUCUUCUAACCGCUGUUACAGACUUUAACUCAGCUAAGUAGAGGACAUAAUUUACCUUCUCUUCUAUUGAAUCUAUUCAGUGUUGGGGCAGAUUACCUGUAAAAACAGAAAGAAAAAAAUUAGAAUAAAUAAUUUUUUGGUCACUAAAAACUUGAAUAAAUUAUCUCGCCAAUGCAUUUUA